rnacentral:lncRNA from 1 species
AGGAUUUCAGUGGUUAAAUACAUGGAAUCACAUGAAGCAGUUGACCAACAUCUCCGAUGGCCUUCCUCACGCAAAUGAGGCUAUAGACAAUGCAAGAACUGCAUGGGAAAACCUGACGAUAUCAGUUCACAAUUCAACCUCUAAACAGAUUAAGAAAGAGAGGCAGUGUCCAUAUUCUAUCCACAGAAUGAAUGCCUCCAAGCCAGACACUGGAGAUUUUACCAUCGAUAUACCUUGUGGGCUGAUUGUAGGUUCUUCAGUAACUAUUAUAGGCACUCCAGGUAGCCUCUCCGGUAACUUCAGGAUUGAUCUUGUUGGGACAGAAUUGCCAGGGGGAUCUGGGAAACCCAUCGUACUGCACUAUGAUGUUCGUCUAACAAGUGAUGAACUUACUGGAGGUCCAGUCAUAGUGCAGAAUGCCUUCACUGCAAGUAAUGGCUGGGGUUAUGAGGAUAGAUGUCCCUGCAGUAACUGUAAUAAUGCAACUCAAGGUACUUCCAAAUUGCGUCUUUAUUGUUUCUUCUUUGCCCCGUUACACUAGUCAUCUAACAUAUAUCACAGUGGAUGAUUUGGAGCGAUGUAAUUCCAUGGUGGGUAGAGAAGAGAAGAGAGCUAUAAACUCAAAACAGCACCUGAAUGCCAAGAAAGAUGAACACCCAAGCACAUAUUUUCCAUUUAAGCAGGGACACCUUGCUAUCUCAACUCUUCGGAUAGGGCUAGAAGGGAUUCACAUGACAGUUGAUGGAAAACAUGUUACCUCAUUUCCAUAUAAAGCGGUAACCUUCUAUCUGGACCAUGAUAAGUCCGACAUUUACUCAACUCAAUUAUUUGACUCCUUACCAUAUAGAUGCUUCUGUUUGUAGGGCUUGGAAGCAUGGUUCGUUACUGAAGUAGGAGUAUCUGGUGAUUUCAAGCUAGUAAGUGCAAUUGCA